GACGAACGCUGGCGGCGUGCUUAACACAUGCAAGUCGAACGGUAAGGCCCUUCGGGGUACACGAGUGGCGAACGGGUGAGUAACACGUGGGUGAUCCGCCCUGCACUUCGGGAUAAGCCUGGGAAACUGGGUCUAAUACCGGAUAGGACCACUGCCUGCAUGGGUGGUGGUGGAAAGCUUUUGCGGUGUGGGAUGGGCCCGCGGCCUAUCAGCUUGUUGGUGGGGUGAUGGCCAACCAAGGCGACGACGGGUAGCCGGCCUGAGAGGGUGACCGGCCACACUGGGACGGAGAUACGGCCCAGACUCCUACGGGAGGCAGCAGUGGGGAAUAUUGCACAAUGGGCGCAAGCCUGAUGCAGCGACGCCGCGUGAGGGAUGACGGCCUUCGGGUUGUAAACCUCUUUCAGCACCGACGAAGCGCAAGUGACGGUAGGUGCAGAAGAAGGACCGGCCAACUACGUGCCAGCCGCCGCCGUAA
rnacentral:rRNA from 1 species